AGAGUGAACGCUGGCGGUAGGCCUAACACAUGCAAGUCGAACGGCAGCACAGUAGGAGCUUGCUCUUACGGGUGGCGAGUGGCGGACGGGUGAGGAAUACAUCGGAAUCUACCUUUUGGUGGGGGAUAACGUAGGGAAACUUACGCUAAUACCGCAUACGCCCUUCGGGGGAAAGCCGGGGACCAGCAAUGGCCUGGCGCUGAUAGAUGAGCCGAUGUCGGAUUAGCUAGUUGGUGAGGUAAUGGCUCACCAAGGCGACGAUCCGUAGCUGGUCUGAGAGGAUGAUCAGCCACACUGGAACUGAGACACGGUCCAGGCUCCGUACGGGAGCAGCAGUGGGGGAAUAUUGGACAAGU
rnacentral:rRNA from 1 species